UUCAAUUGGCUGGCCUCCUGUGCCAUAUCAAACUAAUAUUUCUCCCUCUCUCUUUCAACCAAAGCGUUCCGUUUACAACGUAGAUAGUGAACCGGUGUAACAUUUCUUUCUAGGAUGUAUAUAGCUCUCCAUGUCUGUCCUUCCACCAUCAAUGGCAAUCUACGUACUUCUCGCAACUGUGCUUCACUACUUCCUACCUUCCCAAAGCUCAAGAUAAGAGGCACGUAACGCCCAGGCUUAGUCUGACCAACAUUGAAGCUCUUAACUACUUGCUGAGGUUCGAGAUCUUUGUAAGUAAAGAUAGGCAGUUGAGAGCGGUCCACUUAAUUUUGGACUUCAAGCCUAUCUCAGAAAUAUACCAAGAAAUAGGCCAUGCCAUAAGAACGGGUGACUAGCGGCUGGCUCGGAUUGACGUGUCACGCCCAAAUUUCGUAGCCCAAGAUGAUCUUCCACCAGUCGUGCUGCCAUUUCAAUGAGUUCUGCUUGAGGUAGCAGCAGGGCCCGAGGAGGAGAUUGCCUCUUCACACCUAUCACUAGAGGAGGAGAUAGACAAAUUCCACUUCAAAGAAGAAGAGAAUCCUGGGGCUCUUGUAGUCAACAUCUCGAACGUCGAGGACGAGACUAAUAGGCAUUCAGGUGUUCACACCCCACUCUGGUGAUUGUCCGUCUAGAUAGCACCUCCGAAGAAGAGGAAGGCGAGAUGGCAUUGAACCGGGGAAAUAGGAGCUUAAAAGACCUCAUGGCUGCCAGGAACAAGGUGUCAACUUCGAAAGAAGCCACCAAGUCCCAAGUUCCUCCCACACUUCCUCCUCCUUCUCCUCCACCUCCCAUCGACCUCGACUAAAAGCCAUUCCUGAUCUAAAGAAGAAAAGGCUGAUUUAGGAGCUUGAAGAAGGGGAGGUGGGCCCUCAGAUAGGGACCAAGUAGCAAAAGGUGGCCAAAGACCCUCGGGACAAGAGGUCCACUUCUGUGGACAGUUGGGAGGAGCAAACUAGGGCUAAUGUGCGCCUUCCAUAACGCACUUGGUCUCCUUGGCUGGAGGUGGAUGGGGUGCCAUCCCUUGGAAUGCCUUAGUCAGGGACUUCCAAAGAGGGCAUGUAGGCUACAAUGCUGAAGCCCUAGAGUAGCCUCUUCUCCUCCCAGAGACAUGGAGGCUUCUAGGCACUUCAAGUAGAACGACCUCUUCCUAUCCCUGAAGAGGGACCUCGCUAUGGUUGCUCAAUAAGGUUUUGUAGUCGAGGAGUGGGUUUGCGACGCCUGUAAUGAGGCCAACGCUGAGGCCUUCUCCCGUGCUAAUGUUGAGAAGUCCUUGGGGGCCUAAAACAAGAAUAGGCAGAGCUGUCUGAGAAGUUGAAAGAAGUGGACAAGGCUCGCCUGAGUGCCGAGGCGGGUCUAAAGACCGUGGAGAGGCAGGCCGAGGAUUAGCGUCAAAAACUGCACUUGACCAAGAUAGACUUGGCCACCCAAAGGCUGGUUAUAGAUCUCAAGGCUGAGUUGUAGAAGGCCAAGGAGGUGGCUCAAUUGGCCAAGGAAGUAGCCGAGACUAAGAAGCAAGCGUCCUAUCUACUCGGUGUGGAAGAAACGUAAGUUAGGCUCGCUGAGGAGCUUUCCGAGGUAUGCAGGGAUUACUGCAAUGGGACAUGGGAUAGGGCUCUUAGUGUUGUAGGAGUCCCUACAGACUUUGUUUGGAGGCAGCCUAGGAGCAUAUAUUAUCACCCAGAUACCCGUGAAGUCCCAGGUGCCAUCCCUUCUCCCUCUGCCCUUACUCCAGAGACCUCUAAGUAGCCCCUAACUAUCCAAGCUGCUCUCCCUCUCCCUGAGGCUUUGAAGGGAUCCAGCUAAGAUGGUGAUCAAGGCUAAGGGGCUGAGGUGGCCAAAGGAGAGGGUAAGGGUAAGGAGAAAAAGCUUUCCUCAGAAGCCAAAAACACUACCAAGGACAAGGAAGCAGAGGCCAAGACUAAAGAAGCUGAUCCUAAGGCCAAGGAUGCUCCUACCUCUCAGCCAAGCUAGAAAGAAGACCUUCUUGCUCCCAAGGCCAAGGCUUAGCACUUAGGAUUUUCUUGUAGUGUUUUUUUUUUUGGUAGUGGCACUCUGUCACUGAAUAUAAUGUACUCCUCUUAUUUAAUGAAAAUGCUUUUCUUCUUA